GCGCAGUUGGCGCAAUGGAUAGCGCACAGUCCUCCUACCGCCACUGAGAUUAUGUCUCUGGGUUACUAGCGAAAGACUGGGGUUGCGGGUUCGAGUCCCGUGCUGCGUG